GACGAACGCUGGCGGCGUGCCUAAUACAUGCAAGUCGAGCGCAGGAAGUCGACGGAACCCUUCGGGGGGAAGUCGACGGAAUGAGCGGCGGACGGGUGAGUAACACGUAAAGAACCUGCCCUCAGGUCUGGGAUAACCACGAGAAAUCGGGGCUAAUACCGGAUGGGUCAUCGGACCGCAUGGUCCGAGGAUGAAAGGCGCUCCGGCGUCGCCUGGGGAUGGCUUUGCGGUGCAUUAGCUAGUUGGUGGGGUAAUGGCCCACCAAGGCGACGAUGCAUAGCCGACCUGAGAGGGUGAUCGGCCACACUGGGACUGAGCCACGGCCCAGACUCCUACGGGAGGCAGCAGUAGGGAAUCUUCCACAAUGGACGAAAGUCUGAUGGAGCAACGCCGCGUGAACGAUGAAGGCCUUCGGGUCGUAAAGUUCUGUUGUAAGGGAAGAACAAGUGCCGCAGGCAAUGGCGGCACCUUGACGGUACCUUGCGAGAAAGCCACGGCUAACUACGUGCCAGCCGCCGCGGUAAUAC
rnacentral:rRNA from 1 species